GAUGAACGCUGGCGGCGUGCCUAAUACAUGCAAGUCGAGCGAACGGACGAGAAGAUUGCUUCUCUGCUGUUAGCGGCGGACGGGUGAGUAACACGUGGAUAACCUACCUCUAAGACUGGGAUAACUUCGGGAAACCGGAGCUAAUAACGGCUGAUAUUUUGAACCGCAUGGUUCAAAAGUGAAAGACGGUUUUGCUGUCACUUAUAGAUGGAUCCGCGCUGCAUUAGCUAGUUGGUAAGGUAACGGCUUACAAAGGCAACGAUGCAUAGCCGACCUGAGAGGGUGAUCGGCCACACUGGAACUGAGACACGGUCCAGACUCCUACGGGAGGCAGCAGUAGGGAAUCUUCCGCAAAGGGCGAAAGCCUGACGGAGCAACGCCGCGUGAGUGAUGAAGGUCUUCGGAUCGUAAAACUCUGUUAUUAGGGAAGAACAUAUGUGUAAGUAACUGUGCACGUCUUGACGGUACCUAAUCAGAAAGCCACGGCUAACUACGUG
rnacentral:rRNA from 1 species